rnacentral:rRNA from 1 species
CGUCUAGGCGGUGACUCAAGUUGGGCGUGAAAUCUCCCGGCUCAACCGGGAGGGGCCGUUCAAUACUGGGACACUUGAGGGCAGGAGAGGAAAGCGGAAUUCCCGGUGUAGUGGUGGAAUACUUAGAUAUCGGGAGGAACACCAGUGGCGAAGGCGGCUUUCUGGCCUGUACCUGACGCUAAAGCGCGAAAGCGUGGGUAGCGAACG